CUGUACUCCAGCCUGGGCGACAGAGCAAGACUCCGUCUCAAAAGAAAAAACAAAACUGCAGAAACUAAGCGAGCUCCAGACCAAAAGAUCAGAAGAGAAUGGUAAACUGACACCUUCCUCCUGCAUUCCAAAAUGCAGAAAGGUAAAAACACUGACUCUGAUGACCACAGAGGAUCUGGACUAAGGGAGAGUCAUCAGAGGAAAAAGCUAGAGACAGCAAAAUAUAACCCUGUUCCCAUCUCCACAACUAAGCUGGAGUCCAGGCCACAAAUGGACCCUGCAGCUGCCUCCUCACUGUUCGCCCUGCUCCCACCCUCAUCCCCCACCCACUCUCCAAACAGCAGCCAGAUGAUGUUUUAAAAACCCUGUCAAUAAGGACACGUUCCAGCAAAAUACCCUUCAAAAGUUUUUCAUCCACUUGGAAUAAAAUCCAAACUCUUCACCAACAAGUUCAAAGUCCAACCCCCGCCCCCUUUAUUUCAUACCACUCUCCCUCCAAGCACUACAUUCCGGACACAGGGGUCUCCCUCUUCUGUUUCUUACAACCUGCCAACCUCUGAGCCUUUUCCCAUGCUGCUUUCCAUGCCUGAAAGGCUCCUCCCCCAGAUUUUUACAGAGCUGGUUCCUUCUCCAGACUCAGUUCAAACUUUACCUUUUCAAAGAAGCCUUCCCUGACCAUUCUACCUCAAGUGGCAUCCCUCCCACUCCACCACUCCCUAUCAGACCAUCUUUUUGUGUGUUUAGUACUUAUCACCCCCGGACAGUAUUUUCUUCAUUUAUUUUCCUGUUUCGGUCUUCUCUCCCAUUAGGGUUGAGGCUGUGUUUUGUUCACCCCUAUGAAUACAGCGCAUGCACCAGGCACUAAAAAGAAUUUCCAGAAUAUUUGUUGACUAUCAGCAGAGAAGCAUCCUCAAGAUAGGCUAUUUUGUUCUCCUAUUAGAAUGCAGAAAACAUCGAUUUAGCCCCUACUAUGUGCUGAGCACUGUAAAUCCAUGAUUUUCCUUUCAGAAGGGUAAAUUAGCUCAAGGUCACACUGUUAGUCACUAGCAGACCUCUGAGUGAAUUACUUCACUUCUAAACCCCUCUCAAGGGGAAGGGAUAUCGUUCUGUGUUUCACUCUCACACGGCCAUAACAAGAAAAAGCAAACAUUUCUCAACAGCUUUACAGUUUUAAAGCAUUUUCACAUUCAUCUCACUUAAGAAAAACACAAAGCACUUAGAAUGCCCAGAAAGCUAUACAACAACAGGAAGUAAAGUAAGCAGUGUUUCAAGAUUCGAUGCCGCGGCCCUGAAUCCCAGUAGUGGGGACUGGGGAGGAGUCGGGAGUCUCUAUUUCUGGUUCAGAGGGAUGGGGAAGCGGUGAGUCACGGGGUGAAGGCUUGCGCCACGGGAAACUUUGGUAAGGCCAAGCUAUGAGGCAACAAAAAGUGAAUCACAACGCUAGAAGACACCUUAGGCCUCAACUGAGGCCAAACCCUGGCUGACGGAUGGGGAAACUGAGGCCUCAAAGGGACAGCAACUUGCUCAAGUUCACUUAGCAAGUGAACAAGCAGGAAUCAGGGGAUCUCCUCUCCCCCAGUCCCCUUUUCUCUCCACCAAGGAGGCUUUUCAACGAGAAUUCUGAGUUAAGAGGAUGGCGGAGACGCCAAGGGCAGCUCACAGAUUCCACCGAGGAGCCGGGAGAGGGCACAGAAGCAAGAGGAACCUAAUACUCUUCCCCAUUGGCCUUCCUGUCUCCAUCUUUAUUCCUUCCAGUUCAUUCUCUACAUGGUAAGCAGAGUCCCUCUCUGAUUCAUCAACCCACACUUCAGUCGCAGAAAGUGGCUAAGAACCCAUGGAGGCAGGCUGCCCCAGCUUGAGUCCCAGCUCUGCAGCUUUCCUGGCUGUGUGAGCUUGGGUAAGGAAGUUUGCCCCUCUGGGCCUGGGUUUUCUCAGCUGUAAAAUACGGAAAGUAACAGCACUCACAUGACAGGCUGAGGCGACGUGACUGUAAAUAGCCUGGCACAGUGUUCCUCGUGUGGAGAAGCUGGAAGCAUCAGCCAUGAUCAUUACCCACCUACUCCUCCGAGACCUCUGGUCAUCCUGGAACAUCCGCCGGCCCCAGAACAUAGCAGGCCCGGCGUUGUCCCACCCCAAGGUGUUUGUGCACGCCCUGCUCUCACACGGCACACCUUCCCCUAUCCAUCCACCCAUCAAAGCACCCCAGGCCAAGGCCCAGCUCCAGGGGCAUCCCCUCUGACUUCCUGUCCCCACCAGUCCCCCUUGGGCCUUUGUGCAGGCCGGUACACUUUCACACCUCACCCCCAUCAACUCUGUCCCUCCUGCCGCCUCACAUCCUUCCUGAGGACGUGGGAAGCUGGGCCUGGCUCUGGGCUCCAGCCCUGAGUUCCAACACAGAUGACUGAGGGACCUGCCAGCCUUCAAAACAAUUCAGUCAUCAAAUGGAGUUGACAGCCCAGAAUGGUGGCUGUGAAGAUAAACAGAAAACACUAGUCAAAGGCUCUUUUCUCUUCCCGCCUCCUCAUGAGCCCAAUCCACCUCCCACCUGGACCAGCUGAGGGGGAGGAGGAAGCACUGGACGUGGGGACACUGACGGCCUCCAGAUGCCCACGCGAGAGGAAUUUCUGAUCUUGAUUACAACGGAUUUGGAGGUGGCUAACAAUCCCGAAUUCCCACAAGUAAGUACAAACCCUGACCCCCGUGGGGUGUUGUCCUGGACCGUUUUCUGUGGAUGGGUGUUCCCAAUUUCCAUUUUUUUAAAAUCUUUGAGACAGGGUCUUGCUCAGUUGCUCAGGCUGGAAUGCAGUG